rnacentral:misc_RNA from 1 species
AAAAGUUAAAGGUAUGUACCAAAGCUCUAAAAGUAUUUCCAAAUUUCCCUCUUCUUUAUUUAGUAGAAAUUCCUAAAGAUAACCUUACUUUACAGACUUAUUUUUAAAUUUAAUAAAUUUGGGAAUUUUAUUUACAGAAAAACCGAAAUCACAAUCUAAAGAGGUGUUUUUUGGAUAAAAUGACACCUGAACAAAAAGUAAAAGCCGAUGAACUGCUUAGCCGGGCUAUCUAUUCAAGUCAAGCACCACUGGCUUUAGUAGAAAAUAUACAGUGGCAGAAGUUGUUUAAAUUUCUCAGACCUGCUUAUCAGAUACCAACCCGACACCUUGUAUCAGGCCCACUAUUAGACAGUGAGCACCUACGUGUAAAGGCUAUGGUUUCGGAAAACAUUGCUGGAGCACAUUCUGUUGGACUAAUGGUGGAUGGAUGGUCCAAUAUUAGGAACGAGGCUGUCCCAAACUUUGUUGUAACAACUCCAAAGCCAUUCCUUUUUAAAAUUAUGCCCACAGGCACUGCACCUCAUACUGCAGAAUAUAUGGCAAAAACCCUUGGUGCAGUAAUACGUGAAAUCGGUCCCCGAAAGGUAUUUGGUAUAGUCACAGACAAUGCAGCAAACAUGAAAGCUGCUUGGGCCUUGAUUGAAAAUGAAAAGGAAAAACAAAACGAAUUAAAAAUAAGUUGCAGUCUUAAACUCCCAGUGCCUACCAGAUGGGGAUCAUUAGUUCUUUGUCUACAAUCAUUGCUUGUUAACAAACAAAUAAUAAAAAGGAUGGCUAUCAAUGAAGAAGUUGAAAAGGCAGUAAGCAAACACCCAUCUUAAAAAAAAAUGCUCUAAGCGAUAUAUUUUGGGACCGGGUACAAGGAUACAUUAUGCUUCUGGAACCAAUUGCUAACACAAUUACCUCUGUAGAAGGUGACACACCAACGAUUUCAAAAUGUCUGCAUUUAUUUAAAAAAAUGGUUAACACCUCAUUAGAAAAUGUCAUAAAAGUCCAUUGUUAUCCAAAGAGGAAGCAGAUACAAGGGCAAUUUUUGAAAAUCGGAAGAAGUUUGCUAUUUAUAGUGUUCAUUUUGUAGCUAACCUUUUGGAUCCAAAAUAUCGUGGCUGCGAACUUAGCUCAGAUGAGAUGACUGAUGCGACAGAAGUCAUAUACAAGGUAGCACAGAAGAUGCCAGAUGUUGAUG